AGAGACCGAUAGCGAACAAGUANNGUGAGGGNNNGAUGAAAAGAACUUUGAAAAGAGAGUUAAAUAGUACGUGAAAUUGUUGAAAGGGAAACGAUUAAAGUCAGUCAUGUUGGUAGGGAAUCAACUUGAUGGUAUGCGGGUUUACUCGUGUUCUUKCRAGUGCACUUCCUU
rnacentral:rRNA from 1 species